UAUGUGAUCGUCUCUCGCAUAUCAAUAAGCGGAGGAAAAGUCAGCUACCUACGCUUAGGAUGUUGACGAGACUGUCGAUCUCAUCUAUACACGACUCUGUGCAUAUCAAUAAGCGGAGGAAAAGAAACUAACAAGGAUUCCCUUAGUAACGGCGAGUGAAGCGGGAAGAGCUCAAAUUUGAAAUCUUCAAGGUUUUACCUUGACGAAUUGUAGUUUAAAGAAGUGUUUUCUGUUGAAGUUUUGGUAAAAGUUCUUUGGAAUAGGACAUCAUAGAGGGUGAGAAUCCCGUAUUUGACCAUUAUUUCCAGCUGUGUGAUACACUUUCAAAGAGUCGGAUUGUUUGGGAAUGCAGUCCAAAAUGGGUGGUAAAUUUCAUCUAAAGCUAAAUAUUGGCGAGAGACCGAUAGCGAACAAGUACCGUGAGGGAAAGAUGAAAAGAACUUUGAAAAGAGAGUUAAACAGUACGUGAAAUUGUCAAAAGGGAAGCGUUUGACACCAGUGUUGUUUUCUCGAAAAUCAAUUAAAAAAAGUUGGAUUUUGUGUUUGUAUGACCUUAACAGCUUCUUUCACUUUUUUCCUGCUUUUUUUAAUGCACUUUUCGUUUAACAAGUCAACAUCAGUUUCUUUUGUUGUAAAAAGGUCAUUGGAAGGUGGCUUUCUUUUCGGAGAAAGUGUUUAUAGCCUUUGACUCCUGCAAUCGGAGAGACUGAGGUCUGCAGCGUAGAUCCUUCGGGGUUAGAUACAUUUGUGCUAAGUUAUAGCUUUUCAUAGACAACUUGUUGACUAUGUUUAGUCAUGUAGCUUACUCGCUUAUGCUAUUUUACCUACGCUUAGGAUGUUGAAGAUGUAGCACAUCAU
rnacentral:rRNA from 1 species